AUGUUUCACAAAUUCACGAUAGAUAAUAACAACAAUAGCUUUUCAGUUCACAGGUUUUGUAUGGGUGUAUUUUGGGCAAUUUUGCAGUUUGGACAAUAUGCUUAUGGACUGUUGUAUGCAGGCUGGUUUGUAUCUGGACAACAACAUUGCAGGAUAACAGUUUUACAGUUUUGGGACUGUAAUGCAGGGCAGAUUAGAAGGCUCUUGGAGGUUCAUAGGCUUGUUUAUGUAGCAUAG